UCUUCGAUGGCGGUAAACAGCAGUGGUGGU
rnacentral:piRNA from 1 species